CCUACGGGAGGCAGCAGUGAGGAAUAUUGGUCAAUGGUCGGGAGACUGAACCAGCCAAGCCGCGUGAGGGAUGAAGGUACAGAGUAUCGUAAACCUCUUUUGUCAGGGAACAAAGGCGGGGACGUGUCCCCGGAUGAGUGUACCUGAAGAAAAAGCAUCGGCUAACUCCGUGCCAGCAGCCGCGGUAAUACGGAGGAUGCGAGCGUUAUCCGGAUUUAUUGGGUUUAAAGGGUGCGCAGGCGGUCUGUUAAGUCAGCGGUAAAAGCACGGGGCUCAACCCCGGCCCGCCGUUGAAACUGGCAGUCUCGAGUUGGAGAGAAGUAUGCGGAAUGCGCGGUGUAGCGGUGAAAUGCAUAGAUAUCGCGCAGAACUCCGAUUGCGAAGGCAGCAUGCCGGCUCCACACUGACGCUGAGGCACGAAAGCGUGGGUAUCGAACAGGAUUAGAUACCCUUGUAGUC
rnacentral:rRNA from 1 species